GUUAUAUGGUCAAGUGAAGAAGCGCAUACGGUGGAUGCCUUGGCAGUCAGAGGCGAUGAAAGACGUGGUAGCCUGCGAAAAGCUUCGGGGAGUCGGCAAACAGACUUUGAUCCGGAGAUGUCUGAAUGGGGGAACCCAGCCAUCAUAAGAUGGUUAUCUUGUACUGAAUACAUAGGUGCAAGAGGCGAACCAGGGGAACUGAAACAUCUAAGUACCCUGAGGAAAAGAAAUCAACCGAGAUUCCCUUAGUAGUGGCGAGCGAACGGGGACUAGCCCUUAAGUGGCUUUGAGAUUAGCGGAACGCUCUGGAAAGUGCGGCCAUAGUGGGUGAUAGCCCUGUACGCGAAAAUCUCUUAUCAAUGAAAUCGAGUAGGACGGAGCACGAGAAACUUUGUCUGAAUAUGGGGGGACCAUCCUCCAAGGCUAAAUACUACUGACUGACCGAUAGUGAACUAGUACCGUGAGGGAAAGGCGAAAAGAACCCCGGAGAGGGGAGUGAAAUAGAUCCUGAAACCGUAUGCGUACAAGCAGUGGGAGCAGACUUUGUUCUGUGACUGCGUACCUUUUGUAUAAUGGGUCAGCGACUUAUUUUCAGUGGCGAGCUUAACCGAAUAGGGGAGGCGUAGCGAAAGCGAGUCUUAAUAGGGCGUCUAGUCGCUGGGAAUAGACCCGAAACCGGGCGAUCUAUCCAUGGGCAGGUUGAAGGUUAGGUAACACUGACUGGAGGACCGAACCGACUACCGUUGAAAAGUUAGCGGAUGACCUGUGGAUCGGAGUGAAAGGCUAAUCAAGCUCGGAGAUAGCUGGUUCUCCUCGAAAGCUAUUUAGGUAGCGCCUCAUGUAUCACUGUAGGGGGUAGAGCACUGUUUCGGCU
rnacentral:rRNA from 2 species